GAUAAACGCUGGCGGCGCACAUAAGACAUGCAAGUUGAACGGACUUAAUCGAAAUAUUUAUAUUUUGAAGCGGUUAGUGGCGGACUGGUGAGUAACGCGUAAGGAACCUGCCUAUUAGAGGGGAAUAACAGUGAGAAAUCAUUGCUAAUACCGCAUAUGCCAUAGAUAUCACAUGAUAACAGUGGGAAAGGAGCAAUCCGCUAAUAGAUGGCCUUGCGUCUGAUUAGAUAGUUGGUGGGGUAACGGCCUACCAAGUCGACGAUCAGUAGCCGGACUGAGAGGUUGAGCGGCCACAUUGGGACUGAGAUACGGCCCAGACUCCUACGGGAGGCAGCAGUCGGGAAUAUUGCGCAAUGGAGGAAACUCUGACGCAGUGACGCCGCGUAUAGGAAGAAGGUUUUCGGAUUGUAAACUAUUGUCGUUAGGGAAGAGAAAGGACAGUACCUAAGGAGGAAGCUCCGGCUAACUACGUG
rnacentral:rRNA from 1 species